GCCCGGCCGAGUGGUUAGUGUGUUGUUUGUUGAAGCAGAGGUCGCGAGUUCGAGUCUCAUUGAGGGCG
rnacentral:tRNA from 1 species